rnacentral:rRNA from 1 species
CCCCUCCUACGGGAGGCAGCAGUGAGGAAUAUUGGUCAAUGGACGCAAGUCUGAACCAGCCAUGCCGCGUGCAGGAAGACGGCUCUAUGAGUUGUAACCUGCUUUUGUACGAGGGUAAACGCAGAUACGUGUAUCUGUCUGAAAGUAUCGUACGAAUAAGGAUCGGCUAACUCCGUGCCAGCAGCCGCGGUAAUACGGAGGAUUCAAGCGUUAUCCGGAUUUAUUGGGUUUAAAGGGUGCGUAGGCGGUCGGAUAAGUUAGAGGUGAAAUCCCGAGGCCCACCUUUGGAAUUGCCUCUGAUACUG